rnacentral:rRNA from 1 species
AUGCACGCUGGCGGCGUGCCUCAUCCCUGCAAGUCGCGCGAACAGACGAGGAGCUUGCUCCUCUGACGUUAGCGGCGGACGGGCGAGUAACACGUGGAUAACCUACCUAUAAGACUGGGAUAACUUCGGGAAACCGGAGCUAAUACCGGAUAAUAUAUUGAACCGCAUGGUUCAAUAGUGAAAGACGGUUUUGCUGUCACUUAUAGAUGGAUCCGCGCCGCAUUAGCUAGUUGGUAAGGUAACGGCUUACCAAGGCAACGAUGCGUAGCCGACCUGAGAGGGUGAUCGGCCACACUGGAACUGAGACACGGUCCAGACUCCUACGGGAGGCAGCAGUAGGGAAUCUUCCGCAAUGGGCGAAAGCCUGACGGAGCAACGCCGCGUGAGUGAUGAAGGUCUUCGGAUCGUAAAACUCUGUUAUUAGGGAAGAACAAAUGUGUAAGUAACUAUGCACGUCUUGACGGUACCUAAUCAGAAAGCCACGGCUAACUACGUG